rnacentral:rRNA from 1 species
UGGGGAAUAUUGCGCAAUGGGGGCAACCCUGACGCGGCAACGCCGCGUGAUUGAAGAAGGUCUUCGGAUUGUAAAAAUCUUUUAUCAAGGACGAAGAAGUGACGGUACUUGAUGAAUAAGCUCCGGCUAACUACGUGCC